UUCAGAUGACACCCUGAUUACCUCUUCA
rnacentral:piRNA from 2 species